rnacentral:rRNA from 1 species
CGGUAAAACCAGCACCUCAAGUGGUCGGGAGGAUUAUUGGGCCUAAAGCAUCCGUAGCCGGCUCUGUAAGUUUUCGGUUAAAUCCAUGUGCUCAACACAUGGGCUGCCGAAAAUACUGCAUAGCUAGGGAGUGGGAGAGGUAGACGGUACUCGGUAGGAAGGGGUAAAAUCCUUUGAUCUAUCGAUGACCACCUGUGGCGAAGGCGGUCUACCAGAACACGUUCGACGGUGAGGGAUGAAAGCUGGGGGAGCAAACCGGAUUAGAUACCCGGGUAGUCCCAGCUGUAAACGAUGCAGACUCGAUGAUGCAUUGGCAUAUAGCCAGUGCAGUGUCGCAGGGAAGCCGUUAAGUCUGCCGCCUGGGAAGUACGUACGCAAGUAUGAAACUUAAAGGAAUUGGCGGGGGAGCACCACAAGGGGUGAAGCCUGCGGUUCAAUUGGAGUCAACGCCAGAAAUCUUACCCGGAGAGACAGCAGAAUGAAGGUCAAGCUGAAGACUUUACCAGACAAGCUGAGAGGUGGUGCAUGGCCGUCGCCAGCUCGUGCCGUGAGAUGUCCUGUUAAGUCAGGUAACGAGCGAGAUCCUCGCCACUAGUUGCUAUCAUUAUUCUCAGGAAUAGUGGGGCGAAUUAGUGGGACUGCCGUUGUUAAAACGGAGGAAGGAGGGGGCUACGGCAGGUCAGUAUGCCCCGAAACUCUGGGGCCACACGCGGGCUGCAAUGGUAGCGACAAUGAGCUCCAAACUCGAAAGAGAGUGGCAAUCUCUAAACGCUACCACAGUUAUGACUGAGGGCUGUAACUCGCCCUCACGAAUAUGGAAUCCCUAGUAACCGCGUGUCAUUACCGCGCGGUGAAUACGUCCCUGCUCC